rnacentral:rRNA from 1 species
GCCCAGACUCCUACGGGAGGCAGCAGUGGGUCCUCUUGCGCAAUGUUCUCCAGCCUGACUCCUCGACGCCGCGUUCUGUAUGAAGGUCUUCGGAUCGUAACCCUCUGUCAGCAGGGCCGACAGGUCACUUUGCUAAUCAGCAGUGAAUUGACGGUACCUGCAAAGGAAGCACCGGCUAACUCCGUGCCAGCAGCCGCGGUCAUACGGAGGGUGCGAGCGUUAAUCGGAAUUACUGGGCGUAAAGCGCUCGUAGGCGGUAUGUCAAGUCAAGGGUGAAAUCCCCGCGCUCAACGUGGGAACUGCCUUUGAAACUGGCAAACUGGAGUGUGUGAGAGGAUAGUGGAAUUCCAGGUGUAGGAGUGAAAUCCGUAGAUAUCUGGAGGAACAUCAGUGGCGAAGGCGACUAUCUGGCACAUAACUGACGCUGAGGAGCGAAAGCGUGGGUAGCAAACAGGAUUAGAUACCCGGGUACG